AGUGAGGAACAAGCAUGCCUGUGCCAGACGAACCCUUCCUUCCUCUUGGGUGACUCUGGAGGGCCCAGGCCCAUUGCUUCCUUCCUGCUUGGUUAUUUCAGGAAAGAGACAUGGAUGGUCACAAAGGUGAAUUCACUUGCUCAAGAUCCAACACACACAAAAUGGAGGUGGUUCAAACCCAGGUGUGUCUGACUGCAGAGCCUGUGUUCUUCCCAGUAGAGAUGUGGAUGCAGCACAAAUGGUAGAAAGGACCUGAGACUUAGUCAGAAGACCUCAGUUCACCCAAGGUAUCUGCUAUGCCCAAGGCCUCUGCUCAGUGCUGAGGAAACAAGCAUGGACAAGAUGUGGCCUCCACCCUGAGGAGCUCCUAAAUCUAGGACAGAGUAAAUCUGUUAGAAAUGUCUUCUCUGCACAUAAUUUAAGCUCUACCAACUGUUAACUUCUUUUCAUUUAUCCAAGUUUUGCCAGGUACCACACCAAUAAAAAAAGACUCAGUCCCUCUUCCUUCAGA
rnacentral:lncRNA from 1 species